UAGGGCAGUUUCAGUAUCUCUCAUAUACUAUCAGAUUUUGCCUGUCCACCACACUGAAAGAAUAAGUAAACGUUUUUUUUUUCUGUCUAUAAAUUUACUCUAAACAGCCCCCCAGAUUAAUGUACCUUAGUCCCUGCUGCAAGUCUGCUCUGGUUCCAGCGUUGUCAGCAGCUUCUUUCCCCUUCUUCCUGGUGCAGGGUGAAGCCCCACCCCUAAGCUUGCUGAGCUCUCCUUAUCUCUCUGACUAGUCGGAGAGAUCAUUUGCAUGCUGUGUCAUAGCUGGGAGGAAGGCAGAGCCAGUGUGUGCACGAGCAGCUUUUUUUUUUUUCUCCUCACAUGCACUCCCUGCUCGUUCUGGUUCAUUCCAGAUCACAGCAGCACUGGGAGGAAGAGCUGGAAGACUUCUCUGAUACUGCUAAUGCACUGUCUUUAUUUUUCCUAAGGAGAAUUUUUCAAAACAGCUGGCAGAAUGGAUUACUUACACAGACACUUGAGUAACUGCUUGCACUUCAGCUGUCAGACUCUCAGCCCCAUCAUGCAAAUACUAUCUGCUGUUAAUUCUAAGGAAAGGUAUCACCCUGUGCCUGUUGUCCCUCUGGCAGAAAUUCCCCACUGAUGACCCCGGGAUCUGGGGUAAUUAAUGGCCACAAGUUUGUUGUUAAUAAAACUCCUACUACAUCGAGCCCAAAUUCCCACCCUGCGAAGAGUAUUCUCAAAAUAACUACUUGCACAACCAGUCCCCAGAAUACUACGAGCGGCCGAGGGAGCCCGGGUUAGAGGCUCCUGCUGAGACUCUGUACUUGGGAGCGGGUAGUUACCCCAAAGACGGCUAUAGAUACAGCCACAUUGCUCCGCCGAGCCAAGAAUCUUCUGCAACAGUCCAGGAUCAUGGGAUCUCUCCCAUAUCCCAUCCGUAUGCUUGAAUGAAGAAUCACCUGCGCUAAUGCACUCACGGUGCUUCGAUUCGGCAACUAAAUCUCCUCGAAUUUGCCCAUGUGCCCUUACCCUUAGUUUUCCGAAGUUGCCUCACUAGGAAACUUCAGUCGACUUUGGAAACGGAAGUGUUCCGAGUGUCAUCCCACAGGCGAUUUUCACUCUAGCUGGCGGGCAGGCAGUUCGUGGAGAUUAUUCGCCCGUAGAAAAAACAAUUUGUCGAUAGGGCGAUUAAUCUCCCCAAAUCUCCACGUGUGUCUCUGCCCUUAGGCUACUGCCAGACAGGACUGAUUAUUGGCAUGUGCAUGAAAGCAGGCCCAGAAUCAACUAACUUGCUGGAGUCUGGUCAGUGGCAUAAAUAACACCCUCGCGGGACUACCCUGUGGGGGCCACAGGUCCUGAGGGGCUCCUGCCACUGCUGCCAGGGUUCAGGCACCCACCUCUUCAGCCCAGAAUAAAUAAAAUCUCGCGUCUGCCACCACCUUUAGGGCAGUGGCACACAAAGCUACAGGGGGAGAUUAGUCGCCCAGCGACAAAUUGCUUUUUCUUCAGGCGACUAAUCUCAUCUGAACUGCUUCCUCGCCGGGUAAAGUAUUAAUCACCUGCGGGAUGGCACUCAGAACAUUUCAGUUUCUGAAGUCGCCCAAAGUUUCCUCAUGAGACAACUUUGUUUUCCAAGUGCCACCCCGCAGGCGAUUUACACUUUAGCCGGCGGGUGGCAGUUCAGGGGGAUUAGUCGCCCGAAGAAAAAGCAAUUUGUCGCUAGGCGACUAAUCUCCCCCUGUAGCUUCGUGUGCCACUGCCUUAGGAAUAACACAGUGCAUGCGAUGUGUCGGCUCCAGAUGUGUUGUGGAGUUCUACCCUAAAACACCAACCAAUAAAAAUUAAAACCAAUAAGAAAAUGUCUCAGAAUAUCAGUUUCUACAUCAUACUAAAGCAAUGCAUUGGGCAUUGUAAAUAUCAAUAGUAUCUCUGACCACACUGUAUGAUAUAAUUUACCAUUAGUAAUAUGUCGUAAAUGAAUGGAACAUUUUUAAUAUUAAUAAAACAGAUUAUUAUUGGAAAUUUUUAAGAAAAUAUAUAUUUAAA